rnacentral:lncRNA from 1 species
GAGGAUAGGGGAGCGCGGCUAGUGCCGCUGCCGCUUCCACCGCAGUAACUGCCAGAUCUUCCAACAUCACGUUCAGCUUUGUCCGUCAACCUGUCUGACAUGUCGGGACCCGUGCCAAGCAGGGCCAGAGUUUACACAGAUGUUAACACACACAGACCCCGAGAGUACUGGGACUAUGAAUCACAUGUGGUGGAAUGGGGAAAUCAAGAUGACUACCAGCUUGUUCGAAAAUUAGGCAGGGGCAAAUACAGUGAAGUGUUUGAAGCCAUCAAUAUCACAAAUAAUGAAAAAGUUGUUGUUAAAAUUCUCAAGCCAGUAAAAAAGAAGAAAAUUAA